rnacentral:rRNA from 1 species
CAGUAGCCGCGGGAAUACGAAGGGGGCUAGCGUUGUUCGGAUUAACUGGGCGUAAAGGGUGCGUAGGCGGGUUUUUAAGUCAGGGGUGAAAUCCCGAGGCUCAACCUCGGAACGGCCUUUGAUACUGGAAAUCUUGAGUCUGGGAGAGGUGAGUGGAACUGCGAGUGUAGAGGUGAAAUUCGUAGAUAUUCGCAAGAACACCAGUGGCGAAGGCGACUCACUGGCCCGGUACUGACGCUGAGGCACGAAAGCGUGGGGAGCAAACAGGAUUAGAUACCCCGGUAGUCCCUGUCUCUUAUAC